GGGGGGAUGUCUAGGGUCCAAAACACGAGAGUGGUCAGCACAGACCCCGACUCUCCCUGCCUGAGGGCCAACAUGCUGGCUGGGCCACUCUUCUCACCCAGGGCCUCCUCCUACAGCCAUCUCAAUCGAUGACCUGGGCACAGUGGCUCGGCCUUUCUGGGACGGUUUCUCACACCACAGUGAGCAAAGGAGAUUGUGUGGGGGAAGAAGGUUCCACUGAGCCACAUCUGCUCUUCCCUGGGCCUGAUCUAGUCUGCUGAGGGCAAUGGUUCACUCCAGUGACUCCUGCACUUUUCUGGGUGAUGGGGCUCUGAAAGCAGAGGUCCAGGUCCCACGCUGGUGAUACCAACCUUUGGGAGGUGUUUGAGCUGGGAGGUUGAAUAACAUUAUCCAUAGGCCCAGCUUAGCUUUGGUGGGGAGGUCAGUAACACUUACCCACCAGAACAUUCUUCAUGACGAUUCCAUCCUGAUCUUUGGAAUUUAGAAUCCCAGAAUGUCAGACCAAGUCUACCCUCUUAUUGGACUUAUCAAAGGUCAGCAUGGGGUGGGGGGGGUGGGGGGGAGGGGCUUGCUCGAGGCCACAUUAUCAGAACCUCAUCCACCAUCCCUGGCAUGUGGUUGCCCUGGGGCUUAGAGGUCUGUCCUUCCCUCAUCCUGAGUCCAGGGAAAGUCCCCUCUGUGGUUAGGACAACUACCUUCUCCACCACCAGCUGGGGAGCGGAAGGGAACAUCUGUGGUGGACACACUAGGAUUUGUAGCAAAUGAGCCACACACCCCAGAGGACAGAAAGAACCACUUUGGUAAAAGGCCUCUUGGCCUACUCCUCAGUCUCACUGCCCAAGGACUCCUAUCAGCAUUCCUCCCCAGCCUCCUGAGCCCCAUAACUGGGAGCAAGGGGCUGACCACGGGAGAACCUGGGUUUCUCCUCCACCUUUCUGAACCCUGCACACCUUCACGAAGCAGCUGAAGGAUGUUAGCUGAGAUCUAGAACCUUCUCCUGCCCUGGUCGCUGCUAAGACCUCAUCCUCUGGAUGCUAAACCCUUGGCUCCAAAAAUCCCAUGACUGCAAGGGAUUUGGAGGCAGAAUCUUCUCUGAUGAUUCAUUGCCAAAAUGCCAUCCCUCACAAAGGAACUGUGGUGGGCACGUUUUAUUUCUUGUUCUAACUAGAUGGACUUCUAUUCCCAGAUGGCUUUAGAAAGUUCUUCCUUAUAUGGAUUCAAACUUGCCUCCCUCCAACUUCUGGUCUACUCUGUUCCUCCUCCUGUGGCUACGCAAAAACAAGAAUUCUCCUUCUGCCUCCAAGCAGCGUUUAGUCAAGGUGGGCAGCGGCCGUGUCUUCCCUCUUUUGUCCCCACAAAUUUCUAUAUUGGGCUCGUCAUUCCUAGUUCUUUCCAAGACUUUUCAACUGGCCCAGCGUCUUGGAGGUACCCUGGCAUCAUGGAAAAAAACAAACACGCAGCUUGGAAUUCAAUGCCAGGGGAUCCUGAUCAGCCUCAAAAUGACCUUGGUUAUUGGUUAAGAACACUGGUCCUCUCCAGACCUUGCUUCCCCUUCCAUUAGUUGUGAGGGUCAGACCAGGUAAGCUUUGAGGUUGUAGGCUGGGUUCUUAAAAUGCCCUUAAAAUGUCACAGGCACACGCUGGUCUUGGCAUGUGUCCUCACCUGUGGUAUAACCCGUCUUCGCUUGGACUAUGGUAUUGGGGCGGUAGAAACAGGCAGAGGAAGAGCAGAUUCAUAAUGACCCUUUAUUGUAUUAAAAUCGACCUAAAACCUCA